CCAGUUGGCCGGGCGGCCGCGCUGUGCCAAUGCCGAAAGGCGGUACGGUGAGGAAAGUCCGGGCUCCACGGAAACACGGUGCCGGAGAAAGUCCGGCGGGGGCGACCCCAGGGACAGUGCCACAGAAAGCAAACCGCCCCGCUUUCAGACCGCUUGUAAAAAUUUGCGCAAGCGGCCUGAUGGCGGGGUAAGGGUGAAAGGGUGGGGUAAGAGCCCACCGCGCCGGCGGCAACGUCAGGCGGCACGGUAAACCCCACCGGGAGCAAAACCGAAUAGGGAUGACGCGGCGCUUGUCGCCAGCCUGUUUCCAGGCCGGUCAUCCGGGUGGGUUGCGAGAGGCAGUGCGCAAGUGCUGUCCCAGAUGAAUGGCCGCCACGUUCUGCGGGAAACCGCCAGAGCCUUACAGAACCCGGCUUACAGGCCAACUGGUCCA
rnacentral:RNase_P_RNA from 1 species